rnacentral:rRNA from 1 species
CCUACGGGUGGCUGCAGUGGGGAAUAUUGGACAAUGGGGGAACCCUGAUCCAGCCAUGCCGCGUGUGUGAAGAAGGCCCUCGGGUUGUAAAGCACUUUCAGUGAGGAAGAACGCCUGGUGGUUAAUACCCAUCAGGAAAGACAUCACUCACAGAAGAAGCACCGGCUAACUCCGUGCCAGCAGCCGCGGUAAUACGGAGGGUGCGAGCGUUAAUCGGAAUUACUGGGCGUAAAGCGCGCGUAGGUGGCUUGAUAAGCCGGUUGUGAAAGCCCCGGGCUCAACCUGGGAACGGCAUCCGGAACUGGCAAGCUAGAGUGCAGGAGAGGAAGGUAGAAUUCCCGGUGUAGCGGUGAAAUGCGUAGAGAUCGGGAGGAAUACCAGUGGCGAAGGCGGCCUUCUGGACUGACACUGACACUGAGGUGCGAAAGCGUGGGUAGCAAACAGGAUUAGAUACCCCAGUAGUC